UACGGAGGUGGCGAGCGUUGUCCGAAGUUACUGGGCGUAAAGCGCGCGUAGGCGGGGGAUUAAGUGAGAAGUGAAAGGCUGGGGCUCAACUCCAUGCAGUGCUUCUCAUACUGGUCUUCUUGAGGGGGGUAGAGAGAAGUGGAAUGGCUGGUGUAGCGGUGAAAUGCGUAGAGAUCGGGAAGAACACCAAUAGCGAAGGCAGCUCGCUGGGACGGUACUGACGCUAAGGCGCGAAAGCGUGGGGAGCGAACAGG
rnacentral:rRNA from 1 species